GGGGUUGUGGCUCAGUGGUAGAGUGCUUGCCUAGCAUGCAUACAGCACUGGGUUCGAUCCUCAGCACCA
rnacentral:tRNA from 1 species